rnacentral:rRNA from 1 species
AGUGAACGCUGGCGGUAGGCCUAACACAUGCAAGUCGAACGGCAGCACAGUAAGAGCUUGCUCUUACGGGUGGCGAGUGGCGGACGGGUGAGGAAUACAUCGGAAUCUACUUUUUCGUGGGGGAUAACGUAGGGAAACUUACGCUAAUACCGCAUACGACCUACGGGUGAAAGCAGGGGAUCUUCGGACCUUGCGCGAUUGAAUGAGCCGAUGUCGGAUUAGCUAGUUGGCGGGGUAAAGGCCCACCAAGGCGACGAUCCGUAGCUGGGCUGAGAGGAUGAACCGCCACAAUGGAAAUGAGAACAGGUCCAGAAUCCCAAGGGGGGGAGCAGGUGGGAAUCUUGGGCAAAGGGGGAAAGCCUGACGCAGCCACUCCGGGGGGGGGAAAAAGGGCUUCGGGUUUGAAAACCCUUUUUGUUGGGAAAAAAAAAUGGGAGAUUAACAGCCCGCAUUUUGACGGGACCCAAAAAAAAAACCACGGCUAAAUUCGUG